rnacentral:rRNA from 1 species
GACGAACCGUACAAACGUUAUUCGGAAUUACUGGGCUUAAAGGGUGCGUAGGCGGCGGUGCCAGUUGGGUGUGAAAUCCCUCGGCUCAACCGAGGAACUGCGCUCAAAACUGCAUCGCUUGAGGGAGAUAGAGGUGAGUGGAACUUAGGGUGGAGCGGUGAAAUGCGUUGAUAUCCUAAGGAACACCAGUGGCGAAAGCGACUCACUGGGUCGCUUCUGACGCUGAGGCACGAAAGCUAGGGUAGCGAACGGG